rnacentral:misc_RNA from 1 species
AAGCAUUGCGUUUCUUAAUGAUAGGUAUGCUAGUUCAUUAUGUGAAUCUUCGGUUGUUUGUGGUGAUUUGCUGUUCUAAUGCUUCAAUUGCAUUGUUUCCGUCUGUCUGAUUUCAAAUUGGGUAACUGAAUAGCUAAUAAACUCAUCCCACUCUUUGUUUUUGAUUUCUAUAAUGACUAGUAGUUCUAAAAUUUGUUGUAUCUUGCAUGAAAGCGUGGUAAACAUUUAUGUUACUCAUAUGUAGAAUUGUGGAUUUCCCUUUGAAGGUAGGUUGAAUUUAGGUAUAACUUCAUGUUAUAUGACUGGAAUUGAUUUUGCUCUUGCAUGUCAAAAGAACCAGAGACAUGGGCUUUAGAAACACCUAAGUUGUUACUGUUGUAUCGUAGAACUUAUAUUCAUGUGUAAUUUGCAAGGAUUAAGUCAUUUAAGACUCAUGCUUAAAGUUGAUGUAGAAGCUUGGGCAUUUUUGCCAAGUAGUUAUUAGAAAGGUGGUCACUCAAUGAGCACUAGGUUGGUUUGUUUAGUUUCAUAACAUUGUUUGUCUACUUUCUGGCUUGUAAUCUAGCUAUGAAACAAACAUAGGCCGUCUUACUUGCAGUCAAGAAAUUAUAUUUUCAGUGAUAAAGAGAAGCACGGAGAAAACAACUCAACAAGUAUAUUAUUUGGAGCUAUGUAUUACUUAAAUCAGAUGUCUCAUUUCAUAAUGAUGCUUUUGUUAAGGCGAUCAAGGGAUAUGCAUAAGUGUUUAGUUUGUUUUUAAGAUAUGCAGUGGAUAAAAUAUCUGUUUCCUCUAUUUCUUGGUGCUGAAAUUUUGUUUUGCAGUUUUGCGGCUACUUUCAGUGAA